GCUUACGGCCAUACCACCAUUUCUGCGCCAGAUCUUGGCAGCUAAGCAGGGUCGGGCCUGGUUAGUAUUUCGAUGGGAGACCGCCUGGGAAUACCAGGUGCUGUAAGCU
rnacentral:rRNA from 1 species